rnacentral:rRNA from 1 species
UACGGAGGGUGCAAGCGUUGCUCGGAAUUAUUGGGCGUAAAGGGCAGGUAGGUGGUCUCAUUUGUCUGGGGUGAAAGCCUUGAGCUUAACUCAAGAAGUGCCCCAGAAACGGUGAGACUCGAGUACUGGAGAGGCUAGUGGAAUUCCCGGUGUAGCGGUGAAAUGCGUAGAGAUCGGGAGGAACACCAGAGGCGAAGGCGGCUAGCUGGACAGUCACUGACACUCAACUGCGAAAGCGUGGGGAGCAAACAGG